AGCAGCCGCGGUAAUUCCAGCUCCAAUAGCGUAUAUUAAAGUUGUUGCAGUUAAAAAGCUCGUAGUUGAAUUUCGGGAUCAAGUCGUCGGUCGUGCCUCGGUACGCACUGGUGACAUUGGUUUCUCCCUUCUGAAGAACCUUGAUGUCAUUAAUUUGGUGUCUUGGGGAAUCAGGACUGUUACUUUGAAAAAAUUAGAGUGUUUAAAGCAAGCUCACGCUUGAAUACAUUAGCAUGGAAUAAUGAAAUAGGACGUUUGAUUCUAUUUUGUUGGUUUCUAGGAUCGACGUAAUGAUUAAUAGGGAUAGUUGGGGGCAUUAGUAUUCAAUUGUCAGAGGUGAAAUUCUUGGAUUUAUUGAAGACUAACUACUGCGAAAGCAUUUGCCAAGGAUGUUUUCAUUAAUCAAGAACGAAAGUUAGGGGAUCGAAGACGAUCAGAUACCGUCGUAGUCUUAACCAUAAACUAUGCCGACUAGGGAUCGGAUGAUGUUAAUUUUUAAUGACUCAUUCGGCGCCUUAAC
rnacentral:rRNA from 1 species